GGGCUCGCUUUGGCAGCACAUAUACUAAAAUCGGAACGAUACAGAGAAGAUUAGCAUGGCCCCUGCGUAAGGAUGACACACAAAUUCGUGAAGCGUUCCAUAUUGUU
ensembl:snRNA U6 U6 spliceosomal RNA